rnacentral:rRNA from 1 species
GAUGAACGCUGGCGGCGUGCCUAAUACAUGCCAGUCGAGCGAACGGACGAGAAGCUUGCUUCUCUGAUGUUAGCGGCGGACGGGUGAGUAACACGUGGAUAACCUACCUAUAAGACUGGGAUAACUUCGGGAAACCGGAGCUAAUACCGGAUGAUAUUUUGAACCGCAUGGUUCAAAAGUGAAAGACGGUCUUGCUGUCACUUAUAGAUGGAUCCGCGCUGCAUUAGCUAGUUGGUAAGGUAACGGCUUACCAAGGCAACGAUGCAUAGCCGACCUGAGAGGGUGAUCGGCCACACUGGAACUGAGACACGGUCCAGACUCCUACGGGAGGCAGCAGUAGGGAAUCUUCCGCAAUGGGCGAAAGCCUGACGGAGCAACGCCGCGUGAGUGAUGAAGGUCUUCGGAUCGUAAAACUCUGUUAUUAGGGAAGAACAUAUGUGUAAGUAACUGUGCACACCUUGACGGUACCUAAUCAGAAAGCCGCGGCUAACUACGUG